rnacentral:rRNA from 1 species
UACGGAAGGGGCAAGCGUUGUUCGGAAUCAUUGGGCGUAAAGGGCGCGUAGGUGGUCCGGUAUGUCUCUCGUGAAAGCCCCCGGCUCAACUGGGGAGGGUCACGCGAUACUGAUCGACUCGAAGGCAGGAGAGGGUAGUGGAAUUCCCGGUGUAGUGGUGAAAUGCGUAGAUAUCGGGAGGAACACCAGUGGCGAAGGCGACUACCUGGCCUGUUCUUGACGCUGAGGCGCGAAAGCUAGGGGAGCAAACGG